rnacentral:lncRNA from 1 species
CGGCGCUCCAGGGCGUCGCGGCGCGCGCCCGUCACGCUGCUCAACACCGACACCUCCAACUUCCGCGCCAUGGUGCAGCAGUUCACCGGCAUCCCCACCCCGCCCUACGCCACCGCCGCCGCCGCCGGCGGCCCGGUCAUCAGCUUCGGCGCCGGCGAGUACGGCGGCGGCGCCAUGCCCGUCCGCCCGUCCCCGACACCGGCGUCCGUCAUGUCGUUCGACCACCUCGGCCACCACCACCGCCAGGCGGCGUCGUCGCUGCAGAGCCAGCUGUUCC